CACCAUGCCGCCUGCAGUAACAUAAAAUGCAAAUUUGAUCACAACAAGGCUCUACAUAACAGAGAGACAAAAACCAAGGAUUUCUUCAAGCUUCGCUCAUAUCCACUUUUGUGUUCCCCUGAAGGGAAAAGCAACAACUAUGACCUCAGUCUUCUAUUCUGGUAAUGGCUAAUUAGAAGGGACUUGUUUCCGAUUAGCUCGUAAUGCUACUUACACAGGCCAUUGCCUUGUUUCCGUGUAUAUUGAGUUAUCCCUCACCGAACCCAAAACGAUGUUGCUCUGCUGGUACUAAUCAGGCGGGUUUGCUUUUCCUUUUGAUCGAGUGCAAAAUAAUGGCCAUGGAACUACAUUUUUUUUUCCCCUCCAUGUCACAUUUCGAUGGCUCUCUUUUCCCAGAUGACUGCCUUUAGAUGAAUGAGUCCGUGCCCUUGUGACUACUUGACUGUUUUCAUCUAUCUUUGUCACAGCCCUCCAAAGCUACGUAUUGUGGUCGAGGAAAACGUGUCAAGGUUUUAUGAUGAAUUUGUCGUUUUGACUUAAAAUGCUUUGAGAGACGAGUGUAAGGCGGUCGGGACUAAACCUUUUAUUUUUAAGGCCGCAUCAUCAAGCGUUUUGACAACAGCCGCAGUCGCAACACAGCGCUUUACACAAAAGUUAGCAUAAAAUAAGAACAGAACACAUAAGACACGGACAGUCAUACAAUCGUAACCGGUAUCCCUGUAGACGCCUUGUCCUUUGAAGCAGUUCUCGAUGAAAGAGGCGGAGACAAAGUGUCCUUUCACCAGUGGAUCAGAGAUGUCAGCCUCAAAACGUGCAUGACGUUCCACACGUCAGCUACAAGCUAAGAUUGA